GCGCCCCCCGGCUGUGCCUGGGAAGGGCUGGGCAGGGGGUCCUGGCAUCGGUGCCCUGAGAGCACCCAGCCCCGACCAGGGGUUUCUCCUAAUGCUGGCACAGGUGUUGCUGCAGAAGGGGGGGGGUCUCCCCGGGGCCGGCCUGCCUGCCUGCAGGACAAGCCCCCCGGCAGACACCGGCCCCCGUGGAGCUGGGCCACGCUGUGAGCCGGGGGCUGGCAGAGCCUCGCAGUGGAGCUGGGGAUGGUGCAUGCGGCGGGUGAGCCAUGGGGCUGUGGACCCUGGCACGGGGGUGAGGGUGUGCAGGCGUCUGGUACCAGGGGUCCGGGUGUCCCCCUGGCCCCCUGCUCCCAGCCAUGUCCAGGGAUGCCUGGCUACCGGGGGGCCGGGGACUGGAACUGGCUUUUGCAGUUAAAAUGGAGGCACCGGUGGAGACCUGCCCGCUCCGCAGCCUGGAGAAAUGCCUGGAGGAGCUAGUGGUGAGGGGCUCUGGCCAUCCUGCCGCCCCCAGCCCCUCAGCAAGCAGCUCCCGUGCCCCUGGGGAGAGGCAGCGGGGAUUGCCCAGCGGUCACCAAUCUCUGCCUGGGAGACGCUUGCUCAGAGGUGCGGCACGGCACAGUGUCAUGCCCAUGACAUGGCAUGGCACGGCAUUGUACCAUGCAGCAUGGCAAGGCAUGGCAUGCGAUUGAGUGCAUGCCAUGGCACAGUGUGGUACCAUGCACAUACCACAGUCCACCAUGGUAUGGCAUAGCAUGGCAAGGCAUGGUACCUUCUUGCAGCAUGGCAUGGCAUGGCGUGGCAUGGCAUGGCACGGCAGGGCUGGGUGCUGGUCUCCAGUCUCUGCGGAGGCAGCAGGAGGGAGCUGCCGGACCCCGUGCUCACUGGCGCUGGGGCUUGGGUACCACCCUGUGUCCCUCGUGGGUGGGUGCCAGGGAUGUGCUCUGCACCCUGGGGUGGCGAGAGGACUUAGGAUGCCGGUGCCAAGCCUGCCAAGCUGAGGCGAGUGCCAGACACACAGCGCUUGGCACUCGCUGCAGCUCCUGGGCUGUGCCAGGGGGUCUCGGGCGUAAGGGUGGGAUGAGCCAGGUCUUGUCAGCUCUUGCUCUGAGUGUGACCUGCAGGCCUGGGCACCCCUCCUGGCUCAUCGCUAGCCAAGUCAUCGGCAGCCCCUGCCCGCUGUUGCCCACAAUCUGGGGAUGGUGCCGGGCACCCCGGCUCUCUGAGCGGCAUCUCCUUCGCCAGCAGUGCCACCAGGGAGCCAGCAGCCCAGGCCGUAGCCUGGGGCUGGGAUGGUGGGCUGUGCCACAGCCCCACGCUGCCAGCUGCUGGGACAGUGGGGCAGAGCCCCCUGCAAGGGCUGCUCGACUGCCUGCGGGAGAUCGCCACCCCCAAGCCCAUCCCAGCCUGGCCGGUGGCUGCUGGCAGAAGACGGGGGGCUGCGGUGCCAGGCACUGGGGGCUGCGGUGUCUCCACAGCAGGUGGGUGGCACAAGGGGUGGGGUGAGGGGCUCGGCGGUGCUUGCAGCCCCUCUCCUGCCAGGGGGUUGGUGUGGGGGGCGAGGGCCCCCGGGGUGGGAGAAGGGGCUGAAACCCUGGGGUGGAGGGAACGGCUGUGCCCGGGUGCGCGGUGCAGAGCAGAGCGAUGGU
ensembl:lncRNA